AAGUCGGAAUCGCUAGUAAUCGUGGAUCAGAAUGCCACGGUGAAUACGUUCCCGGGCCUUGUACACACCGCCCGUCACACCAUGGGAGUGGGCUGCAAAAGAAGUAGGUAGUUUAACCUUCGGGGGGACGCUUACCACUUUGUGGUUCAUGACUGGGGUGAAGUCGUAACAAGGUAGCGCUAGGGGAACCUGGCGCUGGAUCACCUCCUUAAACGAUGAU
rnacentral:rRNA from 1 species